rnacentral:rRNA from 1 species
UGGGGAAUAUUGGACAAUGGGGGCAACCCUGAUCCAGCCAUGCCGCGUGUGUGAAGAAGGCCUUAGGGUUGUAAAGCACUUUCAGCAGGGAGGAAGGCUUUGGCUUAAUACGCUGGAGUACUUGACGUUACCUGCAGAAGAAGCACCGGCUAAUUUCGUGCCAGCAGCCGCGGUAAUACGAAAGGUGCGAGCGUUAAUCGGAAUUACUGGGCGUAAAGCGCGCGUAGGCGGCUAUUUAAGUCUGAUGUGAAAUCCCCGGGCUCAACCUGGGAAUUGCAUCGGAUACUGAAUAGCUAGAGUGCAGUAGAGGAAGGUGGAAUUCCAGGUGUAGCGGUGAAAUGCGUAGAGAUCUGGAGGAACACCAGUGGCGAAGGCGGCCUUCUGGACUGACACUGACGCUGAGGUGCGAAAGCGUGGGGAUCAAACAGGAUUAGAUACCCUGGUAGUCCACGCCGUAAACGAUGUCUACUAGCCGUUGGUGUCCUUUGUGAUGCUGGUGGCGCAGCUAACGCAAUAAGUAGACCGCCUGGGGAGUACGGCCGCAAGGUUA